rnacentral:rRNA from 1 species
AUUGAACGCUGGCGGCAGGCCUAACACAUGCAAGUCGUGCGGUAGAGAGAAGCUUGCUUCUCUUGAGAGCGGCGGACGGGUGAGUAAUGCCUAUGAAUCUGCCUGGUAGUGGGGGUUAACGUUCGGAAACGGACGCUAAUACCGCAUACGUCCUACGGGAGAAAGCAGGGGACCUUUGGGCCUUGCGCUAUCAGAUGAGCCUAGGUCGGAUUAGCUAGUUGGUGGGGUAAUGGCUCACCAAGGCGACGAUCCGUAACUGGUCUGAGAGGAUGAUCAGUCACACUGGAACUGAGACACGGUCCAGACUCCUACGGGAGGCAGCAGUGGGGAAUAUUGGACAAUGGGCGAAAGCCUGAUCCAGCCAUGCCGCGUGUGUGAAGAAGGUCUUCGGAUUGUAAAGCACUUUAAGUUGGGAGGAAGGGCAGUUGCCUAAUACGUGACUGUUUUGACGUUACCGACAGAAUAAGCACCGGCUAACUCUGUG